ensembl:lncRNA
CCUAAGGAUGCUUAGACGAGACAUCUCCAGAUAGCCUUGUGAUAUGGGGGCGUCGUGAUCUGUUCUCAGAGAUGAGAGAUGCGAAAUGGGAUUGUAUGUAUAGAGGGACCAGAGAUCAAAAUGCUAACAUCUGCUGGAUCAUUGAAAUAGCAAGAGAGUUCCAGAAAAACAUCUAUUUCUGCUUUAUUGACUAUGCCAAAGCCUUUGACUGUGUGGAUUACAAGAAACUGUGGAAAAUUCUGAAAGACAUGGGAAUACCACACCACCUGACCUGCCUCUUGAGAAACCUGUAUGCAGGUCAGGAAGCAACAGUUAGAACUGGACAUGGAACAACAGACUGGUUCCAAAUAGGAAAAGGAGUACGUCCAGGCUGUAUAUUGUCACCCUGCUUAUUUAAUUUAUAUGCAGAAUACAUCAUGAGAAACGCUGGGAUGAAGGAAGCACAUGCUGGAAUCAAGAUUGCUGGGAGAAACAUCAAGAACCUUAGAUAUGCAGAUAACACUACCCUUAUGGCAGAAAGUGAAGAAGAACCUCUUGAUAAAAGUGAAAGAGGAGAGUGAAAAAGUUGGCUUAAAGCUCAAGAUUCAGAAAACAAAGAUCAUGGCAUUAGGUCCCACCACUUCAUGACAAAUAGAUGGGGAAACAGUGGAAACAGUGUCAGACUUUAUUUUUGGGGGCUCCAAAAUCACUUCAGAUGGUGACUGCAGCCAUGAAAUAAAAAGAUGCUUACUCCUUGGAAGAAAAAUUAUGACCAAUCUAGACAGUAUAUUAAAAAGCAAAAGCCAACAAAGGUCCGUCUAGUCAAGGCUAUGCUUUUUCCAGUGGUCAUGUAUGAAUGUGAGAGUUGGAUUAUAAAAAUAGUUGACUGCCAAAGAAUUGAUGCUUUUGAACUGCAGUGGUGGAGAAGACUCUUGAGAAUCCCUUGGAUGGAAAAAAGAGAUCCAACCAGUCCAUCAUAGAGGAAAUCGGUCCUGAAUGUUCAAUGGAAGUACUGAUGCUGAAGCUGAAACUCCAAUACUUUGGCCAUCUGAUGAGAAGAGCUGACUCAUCUGAUAAACACUGAUGCUGGGAAAGAUUGGGCAGGAGCAGAAGGGAAUGACAGAGGAUGAGAUGGCUGGAUGGCAUCACUAACUCAAUGGACAUGAGUUUGAGUGAGUUCCAGGAGUUGGUGACGGACAGGGUGGCCUGGCGUGCUGCAGUCCAUGGGGUCUCAAAGAGUCGGACACGACUGAGCGACUGAACUGAACUGAUAAAUGUGGUCUCAUGGUAUUUGUCUUCCUCCGUCUGAUUUCAUUUAGUGAAAUACCCUCAAGAUCCGUCUAUUUGUCCCCAAAUGGCAAGAUUUCCUUUUUAAUGACCAGGAUUCCAUUUUUAAUAUAAAUACCCAAAUGUGGAAUUGCUAGAUCAUAUGGGAAAUCCCAGGGACGGGGGAGCCUGGUGGGCUGCCGUCUACAGGGUCGCACAGAGUCGGACACGACUGAAGCGACUUAGCAGCAGCAGCAGCAGCAGCAGCGUGGUAGUUCUAUUUUCUAAUUUUUUGAGGUACUUCCAUUCUGUUUUUCAUGGUGCCUGCACCAAUUUACAUUCCCUCCAGUAGUGCACAAGUGUUCCCUUUCCUCCAUACCCCUGCCAACAACUGUUAGUUAUUGCCAUCCUAACAAGUGUGAGAUGAUAUUUCAUGGUGAUUUGGAUUUGUGUUUCCCUGAUGAUUAGUGACACUGAACAUCUUUUUGUGCCUGUUGGCCAUCUGUAUGUUUUCUUUGGAAAGAUGUCUAUUUAGAUACACUGCCCAUGCUUUAAUUGGAUUGUUUGUUUGUUUUUGCUAUUGAGUUGUAGGAAUUCUUUUCAUAUUUUAGAUAUUAAUUUCAUCAUAAAUAUGGUUUGCAAAUAAUUUUCUCCCAUUCAGUGAGCUGCCCUUACGUUUUGUCGAUGGUUUCCUUUGCUGUGUAGAAGCUUGUUAGUUUUCGGUAGUCUAACAUGUUCAUUUUUGCUUUCAUUGCCUUUGCUUUUGGUAUCAAAUUUAAAAAAAAAUGAUUGCCAAGAUCUUAAGUCAAUGAGCUAACUAUCAAUAUUUUC